CUUGACCGACCCGAGCAGCAGCGGCCGGUCGGACGGCCGGUCCUGCCCGUACGUGGCGAGCAGCGCCUGCGCCUC
rfam:Micromonospora echinospora strain DSM 43816 genome assembly, chromosome: I